rnacentral:tRNA from 1 species
GCUUGAGUGGCGGAAUGGUAGACGCUGCGGACUUAAAAUCCGCUGGCUUUAAACAGCCGUACGGGUUCAAGUCCCGUCUCGAGCA